UGCCUGACCAUUAGACUACACUGCCUGC
rnacentral:piRNA from 1 species